AAUAGAUACCCAGGUAGUCCACGCCGUAAACGAUGAGUACUAAGUGUUGGGACCAAGUCUCAGUGCUGCAGUUAACGCAUUAAGUACUCCGCCUGAGUAGUACGUACGCAAGUAUGAAAUUCAAAGGAAUUGACGGGACCCCGCACAAGCGGUGGAUCAUGUUGUUUAAUUCGACGAUACACGAAAAACCUUACCAGGUCUUGACAUACCAUGCAAAGGCUUAGAAAUAAGUACGGAGGUUAACAUGGAUACAGGUGGUGCACGGUUGUCGUCAGCUCGUGUCGUGAGAUGUUGGGUUAAGUCCCGCAACGAGCGCAACCCUUAUUGCUAGUUACCAUCAUUAAGUUGGGGACUCUAGCGAGACUGCCAGUGAUAAACUGGAGGAAGGUGGGGAUGACGUCAAAUCAUCAUGCCCCUUAUGACCUGGGCUACAAACGUGAUACAAUGGCUGAAACAAAGGGAAGCGAUACCGCGAGGUGGAGCGAAUCCCAAAAAAGCAGUCUCAGUUCGGAUUGAAGUCUGCAACUCGACUUC
rnacentral:rRNA from 1 species